UGGGGAAUAUUGCACAAUGGGCGCAAGCCUGAUGCAGCAACGCCGCGUGAGGGACGACGGCCUUCGGGUUGUAAACCUCUUUUAGCAGGGAAGAAGCGAAAGUGACGGUACCUGCAGAAAAAGCGCCGGCUAACUACGUGCCAGCAGCCGCGGUAAUACGUAGGGCGCAAGCGUUAUCCGGAAUUAUUGGGCGUAAAGAGCUCGUAGGCGGUCUGUCGCGUCUGCUGUGAAAACCCGAGGCUCAACCUCGGGCCUGCAGUGGGUACGGGCAGACUAGAGUGCGGUAGGGGAGAGUGGGAUUCCUGGUGUAGCGGUGGAAUGCGCAGAUAUCAGGAGGAACACCGAUGGCGAAGGCAGAUCUCUGGGCCGUAACUGACGCUGAGGAGCGAAAGGGUGGGGAGCAAACA
rnacentral:rRNA from 1 species